CGGGUCUCCGAGGGCUUCUCCCAGCCCAGCUGUUCCAGAAUUCCAUGGAAUGGUUUGAGCUGCGUUGACGCCGAAGCGAUUCCCGGCUCCGGAGCAGUUUUUAUUCCCUUUAAAUCAUUUUAAAUCCCGUUUUUCCUCCCUCAUCCCGCUGAGGAGCGAGGCUGGAAUCCAGCCCGGACCCGCCGCGGAACAAAUCCACGGACGGAAUCCGAGGAGGAGGAAAAGCAGCCAAAGCUGAAUUCCGCUGGAAUCUCCCAGAAUCCAGGGAAAUAUUCCCAAACCCGGCCUUUCCUGGGGAAAAGACCAAUCCGGAAUUCCCUUCAUCCCGGAUUGUCAUCCCUGCUCCGCAGAGCCAAGGCCAAAGGAUUUGGGAUCAUCCCAGACAUUCCCCUCUGGCGCUCUGUGCCUCAGUUUCCCUGUGGAUAUUCCCGGGAAUAUUCCAGCCCCGAUCCCGCCUCUCUCUCCAUUUCCCGGGAAUAUCCAGCCCCGAGUCUCUCUCCAUUUCCCGGGAAUAUUCCAGCCCCGAUUCCCUCUCUCUCAAUUUCCCGGGAAUAACCAGCCCGAUUCCCUCUCUCCAUUUCCCGGGAUUAUUCCAGCCCCGAUUCCCUCUCUCCAUUUCCCAGGAAUAUUCCAGCCCCGAUCCCGCCUCUCUCUCCAUUUCCCGAGAAUAUUCCAGCCCCGAUUCCCUCUCUCCAUUUCCCGGGAUUUCCCAGGGACGCUCCUGCCGCGGUUCUCCCGGGAGAUUCCCCGGUCCGGGAUUCCCAAGGGAUGCUCCUAUCCCGGUUUCCCCCGUCCCGUUUUUCCCGGGAGUUUCUCCAGUCCCGUUUCUCCCCGGGACGCUCCAGCUCCGCUUCCCCGUGUCCCGGUACCCCCGGGAGAUGUUCCCAUCCCAGUUUCCCUUAUCCCGUUUUUCCCGGGAGAUGCUCCCAUCCCGGUUUCCCCCAUCCCGGUACCCCCGGGAGGAGCUCUUGUCCCGGUUCUCCCUGGCCGGGUAUUCCCGGGAGAUUCUCCUCCCCAUUUUCCCGUGGGACGCUCCUGUCCCGGUCCCCACUGUCCCGGUACCACCGGGAGAUUCUCCUGUCCCGGUUCUGCCUGUCCCAGUUAUCCCAGGACUCUCCCGGCCCCGUUUCUCCCGGAGGACGCUCCAUUCCCGGUUCCCCUGUCCCGGUCCCACCGGGACUUUUCCAGCCCCGUUUCUCCCGGAGGACGCUCCAUUCCCGGUUCCCCUGUCCCGGUUCCCCUGUCCCGGUCCCACCGGGACUUUUCCAGCCCCGUUUCUCCCGGAGGACGCUCCAUUCCCGGUUCCCCUGUCCCGGUCCCACCGGGACUUUUCCAGCCCCGUUUCUCCCGGAGGACGCUCCAUCCCUGCCCGCUUCCCUCCUGCCCGGCCCGGGGCGGGCUCGGAGCGGCGGGGGCGGC
rnacentral:lncRNA from 1 species